AAUGAUCCCUAUGUAUGAGAACAGCUGCUACAGUGGGGGAGGGGGGCACACGCAGGGAGGUGUGUGCACUCCCUAAUCUCACCUGGCUUCAACCUGCUGCAGACUUAGAGGCAAGAUAUUUACACAGUGUGGGGAGGGAAACCAGACAGAAAGAAACAGGGCUUGGAGUGAGGAAAAGGAAUAAAGAAAGGAGAAUUUUUUUCACACUCCCAUAAUCGCUUGGGCAGUAUAUUGAAGCUAGAUUCAGUAAGUUUAGAAGCAAGGUGUAUCAAGACACGGUUUGGAUGGAUAAGGUACGGAGGAGUCCUGGGUCCAAGGUGUCCCACAGAACUCAGGGGUGAAGGAACUGAGAAGGCACAAGAUGUCCUGGGAAAUCAUCAUUCGUUCAGACGAGGGUCAGUGUGGAAAGCAUGAGCAGACACGGCUUACCCGGUACCAGGAAUUUUGAGAGAAGCCAAGAGGCUGGGGAAAAGAAAAAAAAACAAAACAAAACACUGGAAAAAACAGAAGGGAACUGUCAGACUCAGAGAAGCAUUUAAGUUAGAGUGAGAAGUCCAAUUGCCAGCAUUGGAUGGGAUGACUAGCAAUCAGUGGAGCAGAAAACAAGUCUGUUGUCAGGGAGUGUAGCGGCCUAAGGGAUCCCAUCCCGCCGCCGCCGCCGCCGCCGCCGCCGCCGCCGCCGCCGCCGCCGCCGCCACCACCACCACCAGUACCGCCCCGGCCCCAGGUCACAGCACCAAAUGUUAUGAAAUAUAAUGUGAUGGGGGGGUACCUUCGGUGGGCCCAUGCCAAGAUGGUACCCCUGAGGCCUGUGUAUGCCACGCGACAGAGCUGAUGGGAGAAGGCUGCCGUUACUGCCAUCAGAACCCAGCCUCUUCAGCCUUCCCCUGAGACUGUCCCGGGAUCCUGCGGGCUGUCAUCAACACACUGGGACUCCUGAAGCAAUCCAGCCUUGGGGACUGAGCAGAUAACUGGAUUCUCAGCCUCUCCAGCGCAGCCGCCAUUACUGAACUACGCAGCCACAACGGUAGCUGGGGACCGAACCCAGGGCCUUGUGCUUGCUAGGCAAGAGCUCUACCACUGAGCUAAAUCCCUAAACCCAACACUUCGCUUUUUUGAGAUGAGUCUCUCGCUGAAUCUGGAAGUGAUGGGUUUGGGAAGACUGGUAGCUCUCCAGCUCAGGACGGCCCUCCCCAGUGCUGGGAUUGCAGGCAGGGUCUCACUUUCAGCCGUAGCUGGCUUCAAACUCAAGAGAUUCGGGCUGGAGAGAUGGCUCAGCAGUUAAGAGCACUGACUGCUCUUCCAGAGGUCAUGAGUUCAAUUCCCAGCAACCAUAUGGUGGCUCACAACCAUCUGUAAAGAGAUCCGAUGCCCUCUUCUGGUGUAUCUGAAGACAGCUACAGUGUACUUAUAUAUAAUAAAUAAAUAAAUAAAUAAAUAAAUAAAUAAAUAAAUAAAUAAGUAAAAAACUCAAA